rnacentral:rRNA from 1 species
AUGCCCUACAAAGGGGUCGCCUAUUCUUCCAUCAAAUAUUCUGCUUUUUCCCGGGUACUCGGGUUCAAAUACCCAUGGAUUUUUUUGUUUCUUUAUUGGCUUCAUAUAAUUCUGAAAACACAAGUUUUCUUGAAGCCUCUUGCUCAUAUCUCUCAUCAAAGGGUGCUAUUCUAUAAUCUUUCAAAUAUUUGUCCCACAUUCAUUCGGGAGGGUACUCCUAAGGGAUUGAAGACCAUAUCAUCGGGUGUUCCAUCUUGCAAAUAG